rnacentral:lncRNA from 1 species
AUGCAAGCCCAUCAGCUGUUUUUGCACUGUGCAGCAACGCACCCAAAUAAAUUGAAAAUCGGCCCACUGGCCCUUCUGGAAACUUUAUUUUACUGGGCUGCUCUCCUGUCAAGGUUGACCCAAAAUGCAACUCGGACUUGUGCACAAAAUGUUGGAACAAUUUUGUCAUGAUCCUGUAGGCUGAUGUGUGACCAAUGUCAUUUAUUGGAGACAAAGAUUCAACAAUUUCAUCGUAAGUAAGACAGCAGUUCUAAUUGACAACCUCACCAAUUGAAAAGUUUGCUUUAUCAUUGAUAAUUGCUUGCAAUGGUUUCAAUUUUAGAUAAUCAUGCCCUUUUUUCAAUAUUCCCUCUAUUCAUUUUCCAUUCGCCCUCUCUGGCUUUUCAAAUUACAAACAACAUAAUUUUCUGUGACUUGCAUUGUGCUAGAAAUAGUCUAUUGCAAAAAAAAUGAAAAAGAAAACCAGACAAUAAACUUAAUUUGGAAACAUGCAUCAGCAAAAACUCCAUGAAAUCAUUCUCUCAGUGCUCGCAAGUCGCAAUACGAUUAGAACUGAAUUUAAAGCUUUUAUAGACCAAAUCAUGAUGUGUCUGUGCAAAUCUUGUAAGUAGCGUGUGUAUUGAUAGUGAUUGUGGUAGAUGUGGUGGCAUCAGCAAUCGAGAAGCACUUUGGGUCUGUGCAGGGAGGUCAGUCUAGUGAAAUGGACUACAUGGACUUAAAUCAGUAGACCAAUUUUCAGUUUCUAUGUCUUUCUGCGCACGAAAAAUACUUAAAACUUAUCCCUCACUACAGACUUCCUCCAUCGCUCAUACUUUUGGGGGGACGAAAUCCAGAACUUUUGAUACGACCAUAAUGUGUUCUAGUUGGUAGGUAUGAUUUAUAAUUUAAAAUCUCCUGUAAGAUUCUACAAGGAAAGUAAUGUCCAGGAAAGCCUCAUGUAGUUCUAUAAGCACUGCGUCAAGUUCAUCAACACAAUGUUGUUAGCAUCCGCUAAGUAUACAAAGGAGGGAGUUAAUGAAUAAACAAAACCGACAUCAUGCAUAAAAUUAAAUAUCGACGGUGAAACUACCAAACCACGUAUCUCGUUUGCGGCGUUUAAAAAUCUACGCUCGCAUUUUAUUUUUUUGAAGUAGACCAAAUCAAUAUCAUUCCUUGAAAUUUUCACAGAAUUUUCUCCGCAUGAAGAGGAAAAAUCACAGAAAUUUUCAAGACUGGACGUUAAGUAGCUUUUCAUUUAAAAAAUAAAGUAUGACAAGAAGUCUGCGACAUCGCAAACCGAGAUACGUGGUUUGGUAGUUUCACCGUCGAUAUGUCAUGCACCUGAGAAAAAGGGGAUCUCAGGUUAAAUGCCAAACUAUUACCUACCAUUGUCCAAAGACCCUCUGGAGUGUAAACAAAAUUCUUAACCAGAUUACAUGUAGAUUGCUUGCAACCAUAGUCAUAAAUGCAGGUUUCAGCAUAAAGUAACUUUCAUCAAUCAAUAAUCUUGGAAGAAAAGGUUUCAGGCAACCAUGAGUGAUGUCUUUAGCAUGCUUGAAAUCACAAAUUCAAAUUUUUAGCCUAAUCUUUCUAAGUUUCUCUGUUUGGGAAACACUCCAAAAAAGUUCUCGGAAACUCUAGGCACCAAAUGUCACAGCCAGUAACUAAUUUUGAAGUAAUCGGAAACUUGUUUCUUGGAUAUGCAGAUGAAAUGCAUCAGUAGGAAAAGUGUGAAUUCAAACAAGAUAAAGCAUGAUUUCUCUCCUAACAUUUCCAAAGAAAAUGGCUCUCUAGGUGGUAAGUUUGGAGAUCAACUUCUGAACAAGUGCUAAAAGCGCACUAACAACGAUCACCUUGAUGAAGAAUCGUUUUUAUUUGUGUAUUGCCAUUGAAGCGAUGUCUUCUGUUAGCUCUCAUAAUCUUUCUCAGGAAUAAAUUUUAUGCGUGUAACACUGCAAUGAAACCGGUACCAAUACACCAUCACAGUUUAGCUGUCAGCAGUCGUGAAGGAAAGUCUCUGGUUCUUGUCCAAUUCAAUUAACAACUUUAUUUUUAUUUUUGUUAACUUACGUACCAUGAAACAUUUUUUUGAGUAGUUUUCUCAGGAAUGUUCUAAUAUUCU